rnacentral:rRNA from 1 species
GGUUAAGCGACCAAGCGUACACGGUGGAUGCCCUGGCAGUCAGAGGCGAUGAAGGACGUGCUAAUCUGCGAAAAGCGCCGGCGAGGUGAUAUGAACCCUUGACCCGGCGAUGUCCGAAUGGGGAAACCCAGUGUGACUCGUCACACUAUCGUUAGCUGAAUACAUAGGCUAACGAGGCGAACCGGGGGAACUGAAACAUCUAAGUACCCCGAGGAAAAGAAAUCAACCGAGAUUCCCCCAGUAGCGGCGAGCGAACGGGGAGGAGCCCAGAGCCUGAAUCAGCUUGUGUGUUAGUGGAAGCGUCUGGAAAGUCGCACGGUACAGGGUGAAAGUCCCGUACACGAAAA